AACGCACAUGGCGCCUUCCAGUAUCCUGGGAGGCAUGCCUGUCCGAGCGUCGUUUCAACCCUCGAGCCCCCGUGGCCCGGCGUUGGGGAUCUGCCACGGCAGGCCCCUAAAACCAGUGGCGGACCCGUCGUGGCCUCCUCUGCGAAGUAGUGAUAUUCCGCAUCGGAGAGCGACGAGCCCCUGCCGUUAAACCCCCAACUUUCCAAGGUUGACCUCAGAUCAGGUAGGAAUACCCGCUGAACUUAA
rnacentral:misc_RNA from 1 species